rnacentral:rRNA from 1 species
UGGGGAAUUUUGGACAAUGGGCGAAAGCCUGAUCCAGCAAUGCCGCGUGUGUGAAGAAGGCCUUCGGGUUGUAAAGCACUUUUGUCCGGAAAGAAAUCCUCUGGGUUAAUACCUCGGGGGGAUGACGGUACCGGAAGAAUAAGCACCGGCUAACUACGUGCCAGCAGCCGCGGUAAUGACGUAGGGUGCAAGCGUUAAUCGGAAUUACUGGGCGUAAAGCGUGCGCAGGCGGUUUUGUAAGACGGAUGUGAAAUCCCCGGGCUUAACCUGGGAACUGCAUUCGUGACUGCAAGGCUAGAGUAUGGCAGAGGGGGGUAGAAUUCCACGUGUAGCAGUGAAAUGCGCAGAGAUGUGGAGGAAUACCGAUGGCGAAGGCAGCCCCCUGGGCCAAUACUGACGCUCAUGCACGAAAGCGUGGGGAGCAAACAGGAUUAGAUACCCUGGUAGUCCACGCCCUAAACGAUGUCAACUAGUUGUUGGGGAUUCAUUUCCUAGUAACGUAGCUAACGCGUGAAGUUGACCGCCUGGGGGAGUAC